rnacentral:lncRNA from 1 species
AGUUAUCAGGAUCAUUUUAUUUUGAAUUUAAAGGCUACAUUUUGUUCAUGAGAUAUGGUUGCCAUCUUGAAGCUUAGAUCAUUAUGUUUUUACAUCCAGAGAUGAUUUUAUUUAAUUAUCUAAGAAAUCUAUGAUCGUUCAAGAUCUAGAACUUCGUCAGCUGAAAUUAUUGUAUGACAAGGAUUGCAAUCUUAGAAGUGGGGUAGGAAGAAAAGGUGGUUAACCUUGAAAAUGUAAUUGGUGUACUUAUCAGACAGCCGUCCACAGAAAGCAUAAAAUUUUGAAGAAACAGAGGAUCAUUAUUUUUUUGUGGUGGAUGGAGAUGCAUUUAGUCAUCACUGUUAAUGGUCUUGCUCGCUUGAGAAUAAUUGAUUUACCAGUUUGGGUUAUUCGAUGAGACAUUCAGGGA